rnacentral:rRNA from 1 species
AGAGUUUGAUUAUGGCUCAGGAUGAACGCUAGCUACAGGCUUAACACAUGCAAGUCGAGGGGCAGCAUGAAACUUAGCUUGCUAAGUUUGAUGGCGACCGGCGCACGGGUGAGUAACACGUAUCCAACCUACCGUUUACUACGGGAUAGCCUUCUGAAAAGGAGAUUAAUACCGUAUGGCAUUCUAAAGUUUCAUGACAUUAGAAUUAAAGGUUUACCGGUAAUCGAUGGGGAUGCGUUCCAUUAGAUAGUAGGCGGGGUAACGGCCCACCUAGUCUACGAUGGAUAGGGGUUCUGAGAGGAAGGUCCCCCACAUUGGAACUGAGACACGGUCCAAACUCCUACGGGAGGCAGCAGUGAGGAAUAUUGGUCAAUGGGCGCGAGCCUGAACCAGCCAAGUAGCGUGAAGGAUGACUGCCCUAUGGGUUGUAAACUUCUUUUAUAAAGGAAUAAAGUAGUCCACGUGUGGAUUUUUGUAUGUACUUUAUGAAUAAGGAUCGGCUAACUCCGUGCCAGCAGCCGC